GGCGGCGUGCCUAACACAUGCAAGUCGAACGAGAAAGUUGGCUUCGGCCGAUGAGUAAAGUGGCGCACGGGUGAGUAACGCGUGGAUAAUCUGCCCUUUAGUUUGGAAUAACGUACCGAAAGGUGCGCUAAUACCGGAUAAUACUGAAUGACUACUGUCGUUUAGUCAAAGAAGGCUUCUAUUUACAUGCUUUUGCUGAAGGAUGAGUCCGCGUACCAUUAGCUAGUUGGUAGGGUAAUGGCCUACCAAGGCGACGAUGGUUAGCUGGUCUGAGAGGAUGAUCAGCCACACUGGAACUGAGACACGGUCCAGACUCCUACGGGAGGCAGCAGUGAGGAAUAUUGCGCAAUGGGGGCAACCCUGACGCAGCAACGCCGCGUGAGUGAGGAAGGUUUUCGGACCGUAAAGCUCUGUCGAGCGGGAAGAAAUGCAUGGUGGCUAAUAUCCAUCAUGCUUGACGGUACCGCUAAAGGAAGCACCGGCUAACUCCGUG
rnacentral:rRNA from 1 species